rnacentral:rRNA from 1 species
AUGGAGAAGAGCAGGGUUCUUGUCGUUGGAGGCACCGGCUACAUCGGCAGGAGGAUCGUGAAGGCAUGCCUAGUUCAGCGCCACGAGACGUACGUCCUGAUGAGUCCGGAGAUCGGCCUCGAUGUCGAGAAGCUCCAGCUGCUGCUGUCGUUCAAGGCGCAGGGAGCGCGGCUCGUGGAGGCGUCGGUGGACGACCACCGGGGCCUCGUCGCCGCCGUGAAGCAGGUGGACGUGGUUGUCUCGGCCAUGUCGGGGGUUCACUUCCGUGCCCACAAGCUCCUGCUGCAGCUCAAGCUGGUGGAGGCUAUCAAAGAAGCUGGAAACGUCAAGGUAGUCUAA